GGCGGUGCCCGGGCCUCCCGCGGCACGGAGCUCGCUGGCAGCUGCCGGCCGCUGUCUCGAACGGGUUUUGUCCUUUCUGCUCCGUUCAGACGUGCCGCCUCUCGUCAAUGUGUAUAAAUAUCUAAAGGUGGGGUGGCCAGGAUGCCAUUGGCCCUCUUGGCCACCUGGGAACACUGCUGGCUCCCGUUCAGCUGGAUGUCAACCAACACCCCCAGGGCCUUUUCUGCUGGGCUGGUGGAGCUCUUGUUUACAAUGUAAACUAGUGAGGAGAAAGAUUCAAAAGAUGUGGUAUAGAAGCAUGAAGAAUUAGAAGAGGGGAAACAGUUUCCAUUUCCUGCUCUAAAUCUAGUAAUUUAAUAACCUAAUCACUGAGUCAUUGUGUAUAUUUGUUUCUGGUUUCUGGAACCCAGAAAUCCUAUUCUGAACUAAAGAAAUUUCCCUUUGGAAAUUUUUGCUGAAUUUAAUAUAAUUUUAGUUUCAAUUAAAUAGAAAUAUUAAAAAUGUGCUGAGAAAUUUCAGCUGCAUACUAGCUGUGAGUUAUGAGCUAACCCCAAUUCUCAUGCUGUUUCCUAAGAAAUAUUCCUUCCUCCAUCCCGAAGUUGAGGAUGUCUGUUUAUUUCAGUUUUAUAACCCACGUUAAAGCUGACAAACUACAUAUUUGACUCUUCUGGGUACUAGGAAAAUAGGUUAUUAGGAGCUGCAAAAAAUGCUAACAAUUAACAGUAAAACUACUAAGUAUUGUAUAUGGGUCUAGGUUUCCUUCCAUUACUACAGUGUAAAUGGAAAGCAUUACACUUAAGGAUGCUGCAUGAAAGGGAAAUAAGCUAAAGCAAGAAAAGAUUCCAAGGGUAACAUUGUGUUGUUUGGGUUACACAGAUAAAGUAAACUGAGCACGUGUUUCCUUUCUAUCUGGAAACACACAGUGAAGAAUUUCUAUUUCCAGUCAGACAAGCAGGGAGUGGAUUCUCCUCUCAAGAUAAAGCCAAAAUAACUUUGCCAGAGGACUGUCUCUAGGUUGAUACUGCUAUACUCCAGAUGAAAAAUUCCCCCAUAUUUCUGAGUCUCAAGCAUGGAUGAACGCAGCAGACCAGUGAAGCAAUCAUUUAAUCAUUCAGUUCCAUUAAAUGGGACAUAGGGUAGCUACAUGUGUCAAAAGCUAGAGAAAGGAGAGCUACUUUGAACAUGCACAGGCCUUGGGAUCAGAAAACCACCACGAUUUCUGCCCAAGGAUUGUUGCACUGAAAUCUCUUGGAUGUUUCUAUCAUAACCCAAAGCUGUGGUGGUGGCUGAGGAGAGGCUGUGCAAUGGUAACUGCAGUUUCUGCUUCGCUGCAUUACCUUGUCAUGACAUCAGCACAUAUUUUACAUUCUGUGAGGGGAACACUUCCCUCCUCCUCCUCCCUGCUGCUUAGAAACAGUGAAGAGAUGAAAUCUGACACUUGAAAAUACUAUAGCACUAUGACCUCACUGGAGUAUAUGAUGGUCUUAGUGGAGGCAGAAAAUUCAGCUGCCUGAAGUACUUUUGCUUUGUCCAGCUGGUGUCCUACUGUCUGCAAAGCUGCUUCCAGACAGCAGUGCUUUGUUAUUCACUUGACUUUACUAGCCCUUGUCAGAGUUAAUUGGAUUUGUGACAUGGUCAGAUGUUUAUUUCCUGAUUCUGUUGUCCCUUGCCUUACAGAACACAUAUGCCAGGGGAAACAGCAGUACAUCUAGCAAACCUAAACUGUGAAUAGAUAGAUAGAAAUGCUUUCCAACUUUUUAGGAGAUAAAAUCUAAGGAAAUGUGUGCUUAAAAUAUUUUUUCCCUCUGAUUUAUGACAAUAUUAUCACUUAGCUCUGAUUUAUCACAAUAAUUAAAGCAGUUAUUAAACCUUUUGUUUAAAUAUAUCCACAGCUCUCUAGACAGUCAAAUAUCAUAUUCAUUAAUGUUGCCUUGUAUAAAAGCCCAACUCAACCUUAUUGUAGCUGAAUGAUAUUUUGGGGAAGAAUGCACAUAAAUCACAUAAACACAAGGUUACACUUCUGGUAAAAUCUCUUAGUUUAUUAAGUUUUUCAAAAGCUUACACUUUUCAUGAAAGCCAGUGCCUACAGUCAUAAUUUUAUUAUACCUUCAUUUGUGUAAUAACUUUUUUUUUGUAUGUGAGAUUAUAUAUAAUAGUAGUCACUUUCUAAAUAUU